rnacentral:lncRNA from 1 species
UUGUAGACAAAGCUUUCAUCACGGCCUAGAGAGAGAGAGAGAGAGAGAGGGUUGAAUCGUGAGAGGUUGAUUUGAGUCAAGCUCUGUGUGUAGAUCUUGUGACUUUGUGAUUUUAGGUUUAUCACGAUUCGAAUACAGAGAGCUUUGGUGUGUUUCAAAAAAAAAAGAAAAAAAGGGAGAGCUUUGGUAGUCUUGUUUUUUCCGUGAUGUAUUCGGAGAAGUAAAGGAAAUGAAUUGGGCAAGUGUUUUGCGAAGUAUUUUUUUUUUUAUUUUGGCGGAUAAAAUUAAAAUUUUAGCACAAAAUUGUUACCUUAAACAAAAUCCGCGUCUUUUAUUUCUCUUUUUAAUAAAAUUUGAUCCUAGCACUAAUUUAGUGCUACGAUAAAGUUGUUGUCCGAAAUUGCUACUUUUAAUAGCAGUUGGUGAAUUAGUGCUACCGCGAACUGCUACCAAUACUCAUAUUUCUUGUAAUGAAUUUUAUUUGGAUAUUUGGUUUUUGGAUUUUAAAAUUAAAAUCCAUGUGAGUAUUAUAAAUUUUUGGACGGGGUUUGAGUCUCUUUCCGGGUCUGGGUAGGUUCGUAAGAAAUUAAAAUAUCCAAAUAACCUAUGGAUUUAAAAAAAUCAUUAAAAUUGUAUAAAAAAAAAUCAAAAUCAAAACUCGCGCGGGUGCGCGGAUCAAACUCUAGUUUGUUUUUAUAAUACAUAUACUUAAUAUACAUAUAACCACUAAAUUAGUCUAUAAAAAUCAGAUUUCAUUUACAUUUUUGGUAGUUCAUUACAUUGCAGUUGCACAAGACAGUCAUAUGCCUAUGGCCCAUUAAGUUAAGUCCAAAAAUUUUGAUAUUUGUUUUUAUAAUACAUGUACUUAACCUAAAGAGAAAUUUCCUCAGAUAACAAUUUUUAAUUUUUUUUGUCACAAAAAUAGUCCUCAAUGAGGUAAAUGACCAAAAGAAGUUUUAUUAAAGGAUAAAAAUACAUUUACACCGUAGGGUUAACUAAUCUAGACUUAGAGUUUAGAGUUAAGGUGUGAGGUUUUGAUGACAAGAUUUCAAAAUUUUAAAAAUUAAAAUUAAUAUUUUUUUGCUUAUGAAGGACAGACGUCUUCCGACUUGCCACCGGCACUGCUCCGCCACCUCUAUUUGUCACUCGCCAUCUCUGAUUGUGGCUCGAAUCUGACUCGAGUCAAGCGUUGUAGACAAAGCUUUCAUCACGGCCUAGAGAGAGAGAGAGAGAGAGAGGGUUGAAUCGUGAGAGGUUGAUUUGAGUCAAGCUCUGUGUGUAGAUCUUGUGACUUUGUGAUUUUAGGUUUAUCACGAUUCGAAUACAGAGAGCUUUGGUGUGUUUCAAAAAAAAAAGAAAAAAAGGGAGAGCUUUGGUAGUCUUGUUUUUUCC